rnacentral:rRNA from 1 species
CAAUAGCGUAUAUUAAAGCUGUUGCGGUUAAAAAGCUCGUAGUUGGAUUUCUGUCAAGGACAACUGGUCCGCCCCUCGGGUGAGCACAUAGUUUGGUCUUGGCAUCUUGUUGGAAACUGUUGCUGCACUUGGUUGUGUGGCGCAGUGUCCAGCACUUUCACUUUGAGGAAAUUGGAGUGUUUCAAGCAGGCACAUGCCUUUGGACACAGUAGCAUGGAAUAAUUAGAUUGGGCUUUUGCUCCAACUUGUCGGUUUCUGGAGCUGAGGUGAGAAUUAAUGGGGAUUGUUGGGGGCAUCCGAAUUUAGCCGUCAGAGGUGAAAUUCUUGGAUCUGCUAAAGACGGAAAACUGCGAAAGCGUUUGCCCAGGAUGUUUUCAUUGA